rnacentral:piRNA from 1 species
UGAUUUCCAUUUAGUCUUUUG